GAGGAGGACGGUUUGAGGGAGGAGUGACACGCCUGGGCCAGUCCCUGCUUUCGUCACCGCCGUCAUCAUGAGCUUCGUUACCCCCGUCACCACGACUUAGAGUCGCGGCGGGCACUUCCGGGAGCCCUCGGGUGUCCGUUCGGUCUGUCAGCGCGCACUCACCCCGAGCGCGUCAUGACAGGGAAAGAAGCACAUUUCAAACUUUGGGGGAAGAAGUGUGUCCCAUAGAUCAUUCGAUGUGCCCUGUCCCCUGCUCUGUUCACCGAGAGCCCAUCUGCUGUGAGCGCCAGGCCAAAUUUGGGGGCCGCCUGCCGGUGCGCAGGGCUGAGGCAGUGCUGCCUUACUGGGUCCCUCUGUCCUUGAGACCCCGAAAGCAGGAGUCCCCCUGGAUGUGCGCUCUGGGUACAACCGCUGGAGAAUCUGUGAUGGUGAAGGGCGCCGUCUCCUCAAGUGGCAGCAGCUCCAGGCCCUUCACCAGGCUGCGCCGGUGUCCCCGGGGCAGCCAGCAAGCCUCCCGGCCUCCCUCCUGCCCCUCAGCCUCAGCCUCCUGAUCGUCCUCCAGGCCCUACUGAGUGUCAUCGUGGCCCUCCGGUGAGCAGGUGCGGGUGGGGCAGUGGUGGCCUUGGGCUCAUCUCAUUCCCAGGGUUUAGUUGAGUUGAGGUUGUGGGACAACUUGGUUGUUGCUCAGCAGAGGGUGAGAGAUGAGCACGGCCAUGAUUCCUGUUGUGUUGUUACCAUUGUCUGGACUCUUGCUCACACCUGACACAGGUAUCUUCUUCCAGAAAAUGCAAGGGAAGAGCAAUCCAGAUACGCCAGGGCCAGGGCUGAUGGUGGGGAGGUGGGGCGUCUUGGGACCACCCACUUUUCUUUCCUCCCCUCUUCCCUGUUCCCAAGUUCCCAAAUUCCCCUGCCCCCAAAAGACCAUUGGUUCCAGUUUCUGCAGAUUUCUGUUGUGUUGGGGUUGGAAGUGGAUUUUAAGCCAGCUCGACUAGCCAGCCUUCUGAGGUCUGAGCGCAUCGCACCCUCAGGGGACCUGCUGCCUCUCCCCUCUCCCCCAGCCCAGCCCCAACCAUCAAGGCUCCAUAUUGAAAAGCCCUUUCUCUGGCCUCGGACCCACUGUCCUUGCCCAGGCCUGUGUUUCUCACCGGGAACCCCACUCAGUCCCCCACCACCACCCAGGAAGCCUCCAGGGCGACUUCAGUUUCAAGACAGGGUGUCCCCUUACGUGGUUGUUUGCUUUAGUUUUCUUGGAAAAAGCUCUCCUCCUCCAUCUCUAAACUCCGCUGCCCCAGUUUACCCAUCUCCCCAACCAUUACCCCCAUCCACCCCCUUCUUUCUGUUUCUUUUAUCACACCUAUAUGUAAAUACGUGCAAACACACACACACACAGGUAUGUAAAUAUGCAAAUACAUAUCAGCAUGUAAAUGUGCACAAUUAGAAUUUACAUAUAUUGACUUGUUUGCUUUUUGUCUGUCUCCACACAGUUGUAAGGGGAAUGUUCUAGAAAGUGUCCAGUAUCUGAAAAUAGUUUCAGAUGUCUUCUGACUAGUUUUCUGGUUGUUCAGACGGGAAGGUAGCCCUGUCUUUGUCCCACCAUCUUGUCUGGAAGUGGAAAUUCCUCUGCCAGCAUCCUGCUUGUCCACUCUCCUAGUAUUGGGCACUCCCUGCGGUCACAUACGAUGUUGUGAUGCACAUCUGCAUAGAAGUGCCUAUAUGGACCUGGGUUGCAACUUCUCUAGGGCGAGUGCCCCCAGGAAGGGGCCGGGCGGGGGUCCGCCAGCUUUGCGUGAUCUGUGAACCUUAGUGGGGCAGCACUGUGAGAUUUCCUUCUUUUUUUUUUUCUUAAGUUUCAUCUUUCUGUCUGUGUUUGCCAUCUCGAUGUCAAAUUUAGUUGGACUCCCUGGUUCCCGGUCUGGGAAGAGCAAAGAAAGAAACUUGUCUGUAGAUGGUCUGUGUUAAGUAGUUGGUCCAGGUGGGCCAAAGGAAAAUUGCUAAUGCUUUUAUAAGAGGAUCCAGAGCUAAUUGCUAAUGCUUUUAUAAGAGAUCCAGAGCCAGGAUCUUAGGGCAGAGGUCAGGCACCAAUCACCUGUUUAGGAGAAAUAUCUUACCUGCCUGAGGUGUAUGUGGGGUGCCCUGUGAGAUCCCCUAAAGCACACGCCCAGCCUAUCUCAGGAGAGGCUGCUGGCCCAUCUGCUGGCCUGGCAGAGACUUGCUAGAACUUCAGAGACCUCAGGAGAUCAGGUGAGCUCUGAACUGCCCGACAGGGAGCCCUGAAGAGUAGUGAUGAGUCAAGCACUUGCCUUUGUGGCUGGACUUGCCGUAGCCUUCAUUUUAUUUGAUUCCUUCCACAGUUCUGCAAAGCUGGGAUUCUCCUCGGAGUUCCAGAAGGGAGAGUGGGCUCUGGGGGUUGAGCGCGUCGCCUCAGGUCCCACAGCUGGAAAGUGAGCCAGCCAAGGCUGCACCCUGUUUUCUGCCUGGGCUUCUCAGGGACCAAGCGUACAUCCCGCUCUGUGGUGGGGUUUCCUUCACCCUCCACCCCUCGGAGGUUCCCCAAACAGGCCCUGCAAGGGCAAUGUGGUUUCAGUUUGGGGGGCAGUUCCUAGUAAUUGCCUUUCUCUUUGCUUUCUAGCCAGUUGUUUUAGGUUUGAAGUUGGAAUCAACAGCUGCUGUCAAGAACAUCAACACAAAUGUUAGUCAUACUCAAGGUCUUUAACGAAAGCCAUCACAUCAGGAAGAGUCUGUAAUAGCCACUGUUUUCUCAGAUCAUAUAAUUCACAUCCAAGAGUCAAUCCAGAUUAUUUAUCAUCAGGUGAUUCUUAGUUGUAGUGGAGUUGUGUGAAUGCGGGUGGGAUUCCAUUAGGAAUACAGUCAAUAAAUGUUAUUUGUGAAACUCUUAAAAUGGCUACUUUAAAAAUGAUAACCUUGGGCUUUCGUGGUGGCACAGUGGUUGAGAGUCCGCCUGCUGAUGCAGGGGACACAGGUUUGUGCCCCGGUCUGGGAAGAUCCCACAUGCCGCGGAGUGGCUGGGCCCGUGAGCCAUGGCCGCUGGGCCUGCGCGUCCGGAGCCUGUGCUCCACGGCCGGAGAGGCCACAGCAGUGAGAGGCCCGCGU
rnacentral:lncRNA from 1 species